CUUUCCUGGACCUCUGGUAGAGAAGAAAGGCUGUGGACUAAGUAUGUGGCCUGUGUUUCCAAGCAGGAAAGUGCCAGAGAGGAAUGGCUUCUUCAACCCUUGUGCCAGAGAGGAGAAACUGGAAAAAAGUUGGAAAGCAAGAGGAAGAGAUACAGGCCACUGAUAGGACAGACAGAAAGAACUCUGGUACUUUUGGCUUAAACAUAUAAACCAAACCAAACCACAAAAACUUUCAAGCAUUUUCAGUCAUCAAAAUUUUUCUAAGCAGCUGUAAGGGACUUGGAAAUAGAAUGGCAGUGUUUAAAUUAUUACCUUUCUCUUGUCAAAGACUUCACCUUGAGCAAAAGACUAAGUAUCCAAUCCUAAAAGAAAGUCAUCAUCAUAUGGAACAGCAAGUUCAAGUCUUAGCAGUAUAUCCAGGUGAGUUUCAGCUAAUUAUAUAUCUGUACUAUUCAUUAUAAAGGGAAAAGCUAAAAAUGAAUGCACAGAAAUAUAAGUAACUGGUUUAAGGCUCGCACAUGGGAAAAAAAUGUAAAACUGAUAUUUUAGGAACUUGUUUAAAUAAACUUUUUCUUUUUUCCUUAAAAAUAUAUACUAAGAUAACCUGGGCAGUAUAGAAGCACAGUAGGUUAGAAAUAACAGUGAAAUUAUGAACUUGGAGCAUACACAGCCAUGCAAAAGAAUCAGUGGUGAUGUGUUACUCAGGAUAAAAUGGUAC
ensembl:lncRNA